CUUCUGUUACAGUUCAGUAAACAAUUCGAUAAAUAAUAUCUGAGAAAUUAUUAAAAUGAAGAAGUUUAUAACAUUUUCAAUGGUUCUGCUCAUGGCGUUGUUUUUAGUCGGUGCCGCAAUUGAGGAAGACUGCCCCACACCCAGGAUAGGUGCAAAAAUCUGGAAGUGCGAUAUCUCAAGAUUAACAGAAUACGGAAAUCAACAAACAGUGGAGCAAUGAAUUGUUUUAAAUUAUAUUAGUGCAUGCCACAAACAGUGGCUUCUAAUAUUUAUCUAUGCCCAAAAAUGAAGUAAAAUAAAAUAUUAAACAAGUC